rnacentral:rRNA from 1 species
UGUAAAAAGACGGGCCAGUGAAUUGUAAUACGACUCACUAUAGGGCGAAUUGAAUUUAGCGGCCGCGAAUUCGCCCUUAGAGUUUGAUCAUGGCUCAGAACGAACGCUGGCGGCAUGCCUAACACAUGCAAGUCGAACGAGAAGCUAUCUUCGGGUAGUGGAAAGUGGCGCACGGGUGAGUAACGCGUGGGAACCUGCCCUGAGGUUCGGAAUAACGAUUGGAAACGGUCGCUAAUACCGGAUGAGCCCUGAGGGGGAAAGAUUUAUCGCCUUGGGAGGGGCCCGCGUCCGAUUAGCUUGUUGGUGUGGUAACGGCGCACCAAGGCUUCGAUCGGUAGCUGGUCUGAGAGGAUGAUCAGCCACACUGGGACUGAGACACGGCCCAGACUCCUACGGGAGGCAGCAGUGGGGAAUAUUGGACAAUGGGGGCAACCCUGAUCCAGCAAUGCCGCGUGUGUGAAGAAGGCCUUAGGGUUGUAAAGCACUUUCAGUCGUGACGAUGAUGACGGUAACGACAGAAGAAGCCCCGGCUAACUCCGUGCCAGCAGCCGCGGUAAUACGGAGGGGGCAAGUGUUGUUCGGAAUUACUGGGCGUAAAGGGCGCGUAGGCGGCCAAGUCAGUCAGGCGUGAAAGCCCAGGGCUCAACCCUGGAAUUGCGCUUGAUACUGCUUGGCUCGAGACCGGAAGAGGGUAGUGGAAUUCCCAGUGUAGAGGUGAAAUUCGUAGAUAUUGGGAAGAAUACCAAUUGCGAAGGCAGCUUUCUGGAUCAUUACUGACACUGAGGAACGAAAGCAUGGGUAGCGAAGAGGAUUAGAUACCCUCGUAGUCCAUGCCGUAAACGAUGUGUGUUAGACGUUGGAAAUUUAUUUUCUGUGUCGCAGCGAAAGCGAUAAACACACCGCUGGGGAGUACGAACCGCCAAUC